rnacentral:tRNA from 1 species
GUCCCCGUGGACAAGUCGGUCAAGUCGUAGGCCUUUCAAGCCUAUACCGCCGGUUCGAGCCCGGCCGGGGAUA